CUGGUAACGGCAGGUAACAGCUGGCCCGGCCCCGUUCAACUCCCGCCUCUAACAGUUGCUUUGCAGAGAAAGAAAGGUUUCCCUUCACGUGUGUGCACUUAAAAUACAGAAUACAGGAAUAUAAUUCUGGCUAAAUUGUAAGAGAACAAAACCUUCACAAGUAACAGGUUUCAGGCUUUCUACUGAUUUUCACAAAAGCCAGGCUUCAUGUGUCACAACAAAACUGAGGGCAACAACUGAACUAAAUAUGAACCAACAACAUCAUGGUUUGGAAGAAAAGUAAAAAACUGGGACAUUUAAUCAAGAAAGCAUUUAUUACAGAUAUUUGCAUCAGGAAUUCAGCACCACAAUGUUUUAAAUUUCAUCUGAAAUUACAACAAACUGUAUUAAGAUCAAGACAUAUGAUCAACAAUUAAACUCUUAUUACCACAAACACAGAUUUUUUAAAAAAGGAAAAAAAGACAAGGAUACUCUACAAAGAGUGGCAAGUGGAGGACUUAAUAAAGUUGCCUUCGUGGGGAUUGGAAGAUCAAACCAAGUUCUCUACUUAAACAGUCCCAUGAAGAGUUAGUGACAUCUGCGUCCAUCAGAGCACUGCACAAUGAAUUUUUCCCAGACAGAACUAGCAGUUUUAGCCAGCAAACCAAACAGUACAGCACAUGGACCUACUGUGAAGAUUAAAUUGUUUCAAGAAAGGAUUCUACCACCAUCCAUGUACAGCAUCACAUAUAAGAUAUAUCAUCCUGCAGACAUUUCAGUCACUGGCCCCAGAAUUUUGAAAAAUAAAAAAAGGAAAUUUUUUUUUUUUUUUAACUCACAAGGAGAUACCAUGUACUUGCAUGACUCUGAAUUUUAGAUGCAUUUACAGAGGCUCUGUACCUCUGGCAAAUCAGAUCCUGGAAUCUCAAAAGUCAGACAUUUGAAAAUCCAAGCCUGAAACAUCUGCAUCACUCAUAAUCAGAAUAAAUGUUGUUAAUUUGACACUGUACUGCGUGUGAAAGCAGCAACCACACAACCUUGGAAGGUAGUCACAUAACUUGUGUGUGGAGUAAGUGACGGAUAUUUGAACUGUUUGGCUUCAAUCCAGAUUGAACCUUUUCCACUUGAGUUUAUGAGGGGUACUUGAAACACACUUGUCUCUAGCAAAAGCAGCAGUAUGAUGUAAGGGUGCAUCCAAACAUCCGUGUCAGUGUGUGAAGGUGUUUUCCUUCCUUACAAGAUAAACUCGGGGGAGCCCUAGCACCUUCUUUAUAUAGGCAGAAAAGGCAGAAGUUCACACUAAAAAAAUAAAUAUCACUUUCAUCACCUGCAAUUAGUACUCAUCACCUGUAGGUCUCCAGGUUUCUUACAAAGAAACUAGACUUACUCAACAGAGAGGAAACUCAGACAAGAACAAAGACAAUUGGUCUCUUCAAAGAGCAUCAAAACACAGCAGAUUCUAUAGUGUGGAAACCAUCUUGUCAGCAAAAUACUGGUCUUAACAAAUACAAAUGAGAUGAUCUCUACCUAAAGAAAAAUAAAUAUGUGUUGACUGAAGUAGGCUCAUUUAGAAGGUGGGAAAAUUCAUGUUUCAGAAUGAACUACUUUUGUUUUCAUUUUCUAAUUCAUAGAGAUGUCAGUAAUAAUAAUGUUAUACCAAGUACUCACAUAACCAAUUGAUACAGAAGACUGUAGUUCAAAACCACAGAGCAAAUUAAUUUUCAAUAAAUGCCACAAAAAGAGGAAAAAAGCAAAUAGUUUCUUCUAUUAAGAAUGGAGUCAUAAAAGCAGGAAAAAAGCUAAAAGCUCUCCACAUCACCUCAGUGGCCAGGAAGCUACAGACAAAACAGUCUGGACACUACACUUGACAAAGCUUCUGGGCUCCACCGACUGACAAUGGAACUUCCAUGAGAAAGCAGCUGCUUGAAACAGAAUACAUAGUAAAAAAAUAUCUGCAAGACCAGGAAAUCUCUUCUUGCUACUCAGAGCUGGUCUGAACCAAGGAGUAGAACCAUGUCUGUAUCUGGCAUAUUCUGCAACAAAUAAAGAAAAAUACGAAGUUCUGUACCUCAAAUUCUCAGGUAAUGAAAUUCAGGAUCCUAACUUUCUGGGGUGCUUUUUUGCUGAAUGUUUUUUCCCCUGUUUUAACUAUGAACUGCAUGAAGCAAAGACACAGAGCAAUAGAUAGCUGAUACUCAUCAUGAGAACUUGUCUUGUUUAUAGUCGCUCAAUAAAAGGAAGGGGAAAAAAACCUCCAAACUUCAGACAAUGGACAAAACAAAUGAAGAAAAGACACACAUCAUUCUUUAACACCAAGCAAAAGAAAGAAAGGUGUUGCUGGCUCCCACUUCUCAAAGUAGAGCCAUGUGAAAACUAGCCUGAAAACUCUUUAAAAACCUGAUUUAUGCCAUCUCCAUGUUGAUUUGAAUGAAGAGUCCCAUGAGGCAAGGUCCCCAUUGAGGCCACUGGUCUACCUGCUGCCCCUCCACACUACCUGAGGGUGAUCACUGCAACUAUCUGCACAAGAGAAUCUUACAACUUCUAAAUUAUGCCAAAACUUUUCUCAUUUGGGCAAUAUUUAUGCAUUUCUGUUAGGACAACUUUCAGCUGAAGUAGCAGCAAAAGCUCAAGCCCAAUCAUUUCUCCUCAAAUCUGCAGUUAUGCUUUCAAGUGGAGAUAAUCCAGCACCACCACUUGGCAACUGAAACGUGGUCUUCCAACUUUAUCUCUCCUUCAUGUGCCUUUGUCCCGCUGUUCAUCUAUCACUCACAACAUGUCAAAUAACACAACUAAUCUCUGUGCUUCCCAGAACAGUUUAUCUGAAAGACACUCAACAGAGUUUCUUAGGUAUAAGGAUCUCGGCACACCAACUAAGGCACAUUGUUCAGCUUAACCAGUUGAGGACACCAGUAAGCACUAAAUACAGUGUUCCCAGGCGUUUCAUAGAAAUAAAGAACCUUCCCUGUAAUGAAGAUCAUUGAAUUUCCUAUCCUGUCUCAUGUUGCUAUUUUGAAGACACUGAACCAUUGAAGAUAACUGCUACUAGUAAAUUAUUUGACCUUCAUUAACCUAGUAAAAAGGUAAACUUCAUCACUGUGAAAGCCACCAGGUGUUUACAAGAACACAGCUUUUUGUGCAGUCAAUAUUUAGUUGCAAAAGAAACCACCUACAUGGGUCAAAUCUGUGCUAUUAGUAUUGUCUCCACAAGAAAUAAGUGUUUCCUAACAGCAUUUGGGAAGAGGAAGGACACAGCCGAUUUUCAGAGCGAGAGCCAGGCAAAACUUCUUGUUUCCCUUCUCUUCUAACACCGGUUCAAAGCACCAAAAACAAUAAACAGGCGUGCCACACUUCUGCACCCUGUGAUCUACUUUAAUAGUGUAAGGUUUGUGCCAGUAACAGCAACUGAAACAAAAACAUUCAAGAUGACCUUUCAAAAAAUGUCUCUGGUCAGUAACAAAUCUGAUGACUAGUACCACCAGAGCAUUCACCAUUCCCAAAAAGAGAAGUAUUUCAGACCAAGUUUUCUAUUAAUUUAUUUUGUAUUUUUUCCUAAUCACUUCGUAAUGGUACACUUUAUAAGCUGCUGCCUCAAAAAGUAAUUUCAUCUUGCUUGUAAAGAAGAAAAAAAUGUGAAGACCAAACUAAUUUAACAUCUGUCCAAUGGUUAGGAAAAGUAAAUACAUCUUGUCCCAGAGGAAAAUAACAUGAUGCAAAGCCUAGAUUUCUCAGCAGAGCUGUCUCCUACAACACUAACAAAGACCGUAAUUCUCACGAUACAAAAGCAGGAACACCUGCAGCCUCCGAAAGGCAAAUUCCUCCACCUAAAUCCAGAAAAUAGAUAAUGAGACUACAAAUGUGAGUGAGAUUCACUUAAGUCAGAUAAUCAUUAAAGGAGGCAUCAGGUAAAACAUAGAAGCAAACGAGUUCUAAGUCGAUCAAAUUCAAGUAAAAAAUCUUAAAUGCAUUUUAAAAGUUAUCUCUCAACUGAUUAGGCUGUAACCCUAUCUGGUGUGGUUCUGGAAUGCUAUUCACAUCAGCACUGAAAAUACUGAUUUUUCUGUACUUCUGAAGGAGGGAAAACUCACAUUUUCCUUUAGGGUGUAUUAGGUUCACAGCACAAAUGUAACGGAAGGAUACAUUAGCUGGGUUCUUUCUCUUUAGGGAAUCUUAAAAAUGGUCCUGCAAGCCACAUCUGCUAAUACCUGAAUGUUUACAAGCAAUUACCCAUCACAGAACUACUGGUUAUAAAAAGGAAAGAUCUCAUUUUAGAGUUCAGCUUCAAUACCAAAUUCUGCUACUCUCCCACAUACACACAAAUUAAUGCACAUUUGUGGGAGCAUUCACAUCUCCCUUCUGUGUGUUUUUUGUUACUGUUAAACCAAACGUGCCAACACAAGAACUUCUGCUGUGUGAGAUCACACAGGCACUUUUGCAGCGUGAGAGAAAACUGCAACAGCAUAAUGAAAAAACUCACUAACUCCAGGACUCCAUUGCUGAAUUUCUUUCCCUGUAUAUUAUAAACAAUUGGACUUGGGUUGCAGUCUAUUUCUAUACAGAGUCAUGAUUAUCAAUGGACCAGACAGUGACACAUUAAACUCUUUACAGAUUAUACAGGUGGCCAGUGUCUACAAGUGGAAUUUUGAAAACUAGCACAAGAAAGGCAAAAAUAAUCCAGGAAAUUGUUACCAAUGUGAAUAGAAGUCUCACAAUUAUUAUUUAAAUAAAGGAGCUUGUAUGCUGAAGUACAACACAUCUCUUUUUAGACAUUAUCCCAAACAUCAACCGGAUCUCUAAAUAAUUUCUGAGAAGAAACAUGUUCUAGUGGUAGAUUCCUAAUCCCCCUGGAGAAAGCCCAGAUCAUCUCCAUUUAAGGUCAAGAAGGCAACAGCUGCACAUUUUUGUUCAGCAGACUAAAGCCUUCAACACAGAUUCCUUUUUUAAAGCUUUUCCUUUCUCAUAUCCACGGGUGUCUGGAUCUGUUCACCCAGGAGUGAAUGAAAACAGUACAAUGAUGUGCUCAUAUGUCGUGUCUCUACUUGUCAGACGUGACAUGUCCCAUAAGCAGUACUUUGGCAUCUGCCUCAGAAUCCCACCAAAACCUCCAAGAGUUACAUGAGGGAAUACAUCUAACCUGAACCAGAAAAAUGUUCUCAAGAGAGUGUUCCUAAACAAGCUUAUUUUUAGAGAAACAACAUUAAUACAACAUCUACCAACAUUCAUUUGGUCUGAACUUGUACAUAUUACUGCUAUUUGGCGAAUACAUUUUCCAUCUUAAAAUUCUUAUCCGAGUUGAUAUUGAGAGAAGAUGUGUAUUAUGCUUCUCAUGAAAUCCUAGUAUUUUUUCAGUGCCUUAAUUUGUACAUUUAAGUAUCACUUUAAAAUGGAGACCAAGCUAUGACUCUGUCAGCUCACAAACAAAACCAAAUUCUCUUAAGGUACCUCAUUUCUAAAAAGCUCCAAUUCAUUAACAAAAAAAAAAAGCCAAGAAUUUGGGGUAGUGUAACUAAAUAACAUGACAAUUUUACAUCAAUUUUGUUAAAGGGAGGAACGGCACUGCAGCUGUUGCAAUGCUGGGUGUUGGACUUCAUAACAAAAUAUAGAGGGUGAAUUUCAAUAGUACAAGUUUCAUAAAAAAGGCAAACAAUCCAAUGCUAGCACUUCUCUUGGAUGACAGCAUACAAUAAAAACAUGGAACUUCUCUCAUAAAAAAAGCCGAAUACAGUUUGCUUGACUGUGAGAGAUUUAUAACAUUAAUAAUGCCAUUAUAAGUAAAUUAUGAAACACUUUGCACCAGUAAAGAACCAUCACUCCUCACUGUAAAGAUAUUCAAUUAACUUUCAACUGAAAUAUGUGACCCCAGACUUCCUGGGUUUGAUACUAAAGGACAACUGAAAGCAGGCGGAUUUAUGAUACCAAAACCAAGCUGCUAACUUCAACUGUGAUAUAACCAAUUUGCAGAAGAGCUAUUUACAAAAAUAAAAACAGAGCUCAACUUGAAACAGGGUUGUACAUCACCCCCAAAGCCCUUCUGUCUCUGGUUUGAACGAUGUACUGCAGCAGGGCUUCCAGGGAACAAAAAACCCAAACUAAACCAAAAAACCCACCCUGUCUGGAUUCCUGCUUAAAGCCAAGCACUCAUCUAUGCUAAACAAUUAUUGUCAAAAGUGAAUCUCUAAGUGUUCAGAGUUUGGCUCAGUUUCUGUAUUUUUGCCUGCAAUUUACCAAUGAGGAAAAGGCCUGUGCUGUCAGUUGUAUCCACAAAGAAAGCCUGAUGCUGGAUGCUCUCACUUGACAGCUUAAUCCUUUUGCAUCCAGUAAAUCCUUCACUUCCCCAGUGCACAAAACCUACUCUGCAUAUGCACUAUGUUGCCGCUUUUCAACACAGGAAAGUACACAUAAGAUAACCUGUAAAGUAGCAUCAAGCUACUACCCCUAUCGAAACAAAGAGAAAGGGUUCUCAGAAGAUUCACUUAAAUAAUUUCCAGCCACAGAAAGUGGGAGAGGAAGAAAAAAAUGUGGAAGUGUGUUUUAAAGGAGAGAUAAAUACUUCAAAGUAUAUAGUAAUGAUAAAUUUCAGAGAUGAACUUACAUAUGUCAAAUUUGGGGAAAAAAAUCCUCUAACCUCACCCAUUACUGUUUGGAAGAGACAUGAAACACAGAAAAGUUAUUUCAGUUUAAGCACUGUGAGAAGAAAAUAUUAUCUUGGGGAGCAUUCAUCAUACACUAUAAACUGAAUACCAGCUAUGUAACUAUAUAUUAUUGAAAGUGUAGUUUAAAAAAUAUCUUGGACAAAAGAAAAUCAUUCCAAAUCAAACACCCACAAGAAAUGUGUUAGCGUUCAGUAUUUAGGUUUCCUAACAAAGAAGAAACAGAAGUAGCAAAAGUAACACAUCCAAAGCAGUUCCCUGAGUAAGUUCCCAUUUAAGUUCCUGUUUAAAAAAAGGCAGUGGCAGGGAACAGCUCCCUUUGCUACCCUACUGAAGCAUGCAGCUUCCCAGAUUCCUUCAUCCUGUGAUUGAGCAGGUGGUCUCCCUGGCACACAGGUCCUUUCACAAAAGGAGAGGUGCUGCCCACAUUUAAUACAUUACUGCUGGGAACAAGUUUAGAGGAGCCACUGCCCGUGUCAGAAGGCAAAUGGGACCAAUCAACUUGUGAGCUGCUGAGUGACACCGUGAGUCCUGCCUCUGAAACUUUUGUUAUUUUUUCCCCUCAGCCUACUUCAAUUGUUUCCACAACUUGGUCACAGACUCGGAAAAGUUGCCAGAGAUCUACAGGCACGUCCCACAGCCUGCAGCAAGCUCAUCUGUGCUUCACUGUCACAACAGGGAACACCAAAAACAUCAAAGCUACUCAGAAGGAAGAUUGCAGAAAGGGGGAAAAAAUUAACUGAAGUGUGAGUGUUCCCCUAUGCUCUCUGAAACACGUAUGACACUUCAGUACAAAACAGACAAAAGGUGGGUGACAGCGCCAUGGAGGAUUAACAAGCAAGGUAUUGGAGAAAAAAGGCUUGUAGGAGUAUCCAGAAUACUUUUCCAGAAAAAAACCCAAACAACUAGUUAUUUUAAGCAUACCAUUUUUUGCUUAAGUAGCAGACACUAAAAACCAGGGAAAGAGCUAUGGACACAAUGAACUUCAUGUGAACCUACACGGCUUACUAAUGAAGGAGCAGCCCUAAGCUACAAUUAAAAGUCUGCUGCAGGCACAAGAGGGCAGACUGAUGCACAUUAUGGAUCUUGCCAACAACAGAGGUCUCAACCUGCUACUUAACUUUCUGCUCAUUGUCUUGGUUCUAGUGCUCGCAUUUAUCUUUGUGAAGCUGAUGUGAACCUCAGCAAGGCCCUGCUCCCUUCUCAGAUUUGGCCCUGUGGAUUCUGCAAUGAUAAUGUAGACACUUUAGACUACCUGAAUAUAAGUAUGUGAAGACUGCAGAGGCUGAAAUAUCUGACAGUUACAGAGAAUGUGUUCACACCCAAAUUUAUCAGAAAGCAAUCCUAAGAGCUGUGCUCAAGCUGUGCACCUGCCAUUGAGUGAAGAAAGCACUUACAGCCUUGCCAAGUACCUGAAGAAACCCAAGAAUGCAUCAGCAGAUACUGUAGUUUCUCAUUGCUACAUAAGCUGAUUCUUAUUUAAAGAUCUACAAAUUAUUGUCAGCAUUCAAGGAACAAAAUUUCUGCAAAAAGGGGAUAGCAGAAAUCAAAUUUUUAAAACAGAACUUCUGUAGAACAUAUACUUAAUGGGAAAUGACAGCAGGAAGGCAAAUCAAAAUGCCAGCUUUGAGCUGACAGCACACAUCAAAUUACCUGUGGAGAGAAAAGCACAGAUGCUGUGAAUGGAAACAAAAAUAGCCCUGAAAAGCAACUUGCAGUAGCAGAGAUGGGGAUAAGUGAAGGUCAAAUAUGAAAACAUUAUUAUUUAGACCUUUUUUUGACCACCUGUGGUUCAUUGCAACACCCUAAAAGCAAGAAGCCUUCUGUUAUCCAUCAUAUCAAAAGAAGCAUCUGUCAAAACAACUAAAAAACAAAGGGCCAUUACCCAGGGUUAUCAUAACUCUGGCCAGGAAACCCUUAGCACCAGCACAUGCACCAGCAGUAGGCACAGCUGCACCGACCCAAGAUGCAUUACAGCCUCAGUAAGGGGAUUUACCACUUAUGCUCAGGUCAAGUGAGCAGUGUGGGAGCCCUCCAGCCGUAUUUGACAUACCACUUGUUACUUGCCAGUGCAAUCAUCAGCCCAUAGCCUGUCCUCACCUCUAAGCAUGCAGCAAAAACUUCUUACAGGACCUUCUUCUGUGGCUCUUUACAGGGUGAUGUACUUUUCCCACAGGGUCCUGGGAAGAAGACUGACCAACAAGAGCACACUGCUAUUGGAAUGAUUUUCCAGAAGGUAGAGCUAAAAACAUGAGAAGUGCUGGGAAAGGAGGGGACCAGAAGCAGAUUUUCAUACAUCACAUUGGAGCCAAACAACUUUCUCUUAGCAUCUCACUUUGCCAAGUGAAACACAGAAACCAACCACAGGAACCACCAUGCAUGCACCAAAAAAUAUAUAUUGUACAGUAAAUUUAUUGCUGUAGAUAUGCAUAUUUACACACAUGCAAAAGAGGCAGAUGUUGUUCCAUGGAUGGGGAAAGCUCCAGCUUCCUACUGCCAACAGCACAUCCCUGAUUCAGCACAUAUACGGCUGAGUGCAUUAUAGAGCUGACCUAUUUAUGUUCACAUCCAGAACUUCCAUAUGAUCACUACUGUUAUUCAUUUACCUGCAGGAGACUCAUCUAAACUGGAUCUAUGAACAGACUUUUCACAGGGAAAGGCAGUAUGCCCAGCAAACCCAAAAACUUAAGGAAGUCCUGCCAUUAAUAAGUAUUCACAUUCCACUCUAUGUUACCUUCUCCAAAGCUUACAGAGCAUUAGUGUGCUGGUUUUAUCAGGAAUAAAGUUCAUUUUCUUCAUGGUAUAGUAGUUAGCAUGGGACUAUGCAUUGGUACAAGUCCAAAGUGUAGCUACUACAAAGGAAAUUGCCUCUGCCCCAGCCAAACCAGCACAAUGGCGUAGAGCAGCACAGAUAGUUAAAACAAAAGCUUUUUUCUCACUUUCUCUGAAAUAUAACCAUUUGAAAUGGCUUCCGCAAACUACAUACCCAUAGUUUUUGAAGCUGUUAGACACAGUAGUAUGAAUUCCAAGCUGUUUGCAUUUCAAGCAGAAAACAUUGCACAGCUACACCACAGUAUGCAAUUCAUCAUUUAUUUUGAUAAUCUUGAAAUAUUCUGCUUAAAAAAAAAUCUGUAAAUUUAUAUACCGGAGAUAUAUGUGGUAAUGGUUACAUAGUUUCCUAAUACUUAGAGGAAUUCCUGUUGAUGCUUGACAUAGAUGGUUCAAAGCACACCAAAACCACUGAAACAAACAGGAAACCCACUCUAGCCCAAAGCAGAAUAAGAACAGUUUUCCCAACAAAAUAGUUAUUCACUGCUUGGGACUACCCAAAGCUUAUUGUCUGUAUGACCUGUAUAUUCAGAAGUUUCCCUGUCUUAGAGAAACCACUGUGAUACCAGUUGGCUCUGAUAAAAAAAAAAAUAAAUCACAUAUUCCUUUUUAAUAAAUUGGGGAAGAUGAGCCUACUGCCACCAAUAAGCAUGUAUUUCCAGAUCAAAAAUGACAUAUCAAGGAAGUCUGUGAGAAACUUUGCCACCAGAGCAUGGAGAAACAAUCCCCAGACACAAGCGCAGCAGCUUCCUUUCAGCCAGCAAUGAACAUGACAGAAUCCUCAACAAAUCCUGAAACUGCUGAAACUAAAACAUGCAUUUUCCCAAGAUGACAUAUGAAGCUGGCAAAGUUAUCAUCUAACCAGUGCCAAGGCUCUUUUUACAACCAAGCACAGUCCAAGUUUGGUUUCCGAUCAUUUGCUAGCACUCCAGAUGAACCUACCAGCACCUUAUAGAGAAUGGAAUCCCAUUUGCUGGGCUACCAACUUCACAGCAAAAGGAACAGACCAUAGAAGCUUAGUUACGGCUCACAGUAAAGGAGUUCACUCUGCUAGCUGAAAGUGAUAAUCCUUCAUGUUGAAAAGUUUUCUAUUCCUGCAAAGUAUGGUUUCAUCAAAAUGUGAUAUAGGAAAAAUACUGAUAUUAAUAAUUUUAAUUUUCUGAUCUGACAGGACUGUAAAAAAACCCCUAGCUUUGAGCUGACAUUUAUGAAUAAAAUUCUAUGUGGCAACAAUGUUAUCUGAUGAAUGUUAUGACUUUUCUUUCAAUUAAAGUUUUACAGCUUUGU